UACGUAGGGUGCGAGCGUUGUCCGGAAUUAUUGGGCGUAAAGAGCUUGUAGGCGGUUUGUCGCGUCUGCUGUGAAAAUCCGGGGCUCAAUCCCGGACUUGCAGUGGGUACGGGCAGACUAGAGUGUGGUAGGGGAGACUGGAAUUCCUGGUGUAGCGGUGAAAUGCGCAGAUAUCAGGAGGAACACCGAUGGCGAAGGCAGGUCUCUGGGCCACUACUGACGCUGAGAAGCGAAAGCAUGGGGAGCGAACAGG
rnacentral:rRNA from 1 species